rnacentral:rRNA from 1 species
UACGGGGGGGGGCAAGCGUUGUUCGGAAUUACUGGGCGUAAAGCGUGCGCAGGCGGUUGUGCAAGACAGAUGUGAAAUCCCCGGGCUCAACCUGGGAAUUGCAUUUGUGACUGCACGGCUAGAGUGUGUCAGAGGGGGGUAGAAUUCCACGUGUAGCAGUGAAAUGCGUAGAGAUGUGGAGGAAUACCGAUGGCGAAGGCAGCCCCCCUGGGAUAACACUGACGCUCAUGCACGAAAGCGUGGGGAGCAAACAGG